rnacentral:tRNA from 1 species
GGAGUGCGUAGCCGAGCCCGAACGACCCGCGCUUCACGGGGGCGGUGGCUCGUGCGCCGGGCUCGCGGGCGUUCCGGACGUCGGCGCCGUUC